UCAGACAGCUUGAUGGAUGUGGAGCUGUACUUCCAAUUUAUUGAGAUGGCGGAGAAAUGCCUGUACGAAGCCCUGAAACAAGCUGCUGGAUGACAAUCAGUCAGGCUUGAAAAGUGGACACUUCACCGAAACUUCCCUGCUGUCUGUCGCUAAGACAGGAGAAAGCUGAAUCCAGAUCAUCCGUCCGGAUUCUGUUGGACCUUUCUGCAGCCUUUGAGACAGUCAAUCAUCAGAUCCUACUCUCCACCCUCUCUUCGCUGGGCAUCACAGGAACUGUGCUUGACUGGUUUAAUUAAUAUCUCUCAGCCCAACGGAACCACAGUGACUGCUCAUCUUUGCCUUCCUGGCAGACAUCUCGGCCUGGAUGAAGGAACACCGCCUGCAACUUAACCCAGCCAAGACCGAACUGUUCGUUUUAACCCUGCUGUUGAACACAUGACUGUGCAGCUGGGUGCAACUACAGUAUCGCCUUCCAAAACGGUCUGAAAUGUAAGGGGUAACCAUCGAUAAACUAAAUCUCA